CUGAGUCCUUAGAAGCCUUGAGUAAAGAGGAAACCUGCGGGGACCAGGUUAAGCUGAAAGAGACAGGAGUGAGAAUGGCAAGCAGGAUGCACCAGGGUCAAGAAGGUGACUUUGGAAACAAUUCAAAAUGAGUGAAUACUCAGUGGAGCAAAACCAGCUCUUUUUGCUCCAGCACAGGCCAAGCUGAAGUGAGAAUUUAUUUCCUGA
rnacentral:lncRNA from 1 species